rnacentral:lncRNA from 1 species
UUAGUACUUUGUGCGCAGCCUCCAUUCAAACGGAUAACCGCAUCUAAACGUCUUCUGAUUCCUGCCAAAAAUCGACUAAUUUGUUGCUAAGGUAGCAGCAACCAUUUCUGAUGAAGGGCAUUGUUUAUUUCAUGAUGUGUUUGAACUGGGGUGUCCUUUCGCGCACGUUCCGCCCAAUAGUGUCCCAUAUAUGCUCGAUAUGGUUCAAAUCCGGGCUACGGUCCGUCCAAGAAAGAUGAACCGAAUUCCAUUGAAACAAUGGAUCUUCCUCCACGAUGCUAAUUUUCAACUUUAGCGAGCUCUGCACUACAUUGGAUACGGAAAACUGUGUGUCUGUUCGUAAGCAAAGGUCUCCGAAAUGGUCUUAUCGCACAAUAACCAGUAGCGAUGAGUCGAUCUCGAACAGUUCUUGCUAAAAGGCUCCCGUAUGCCCACCACUCUCUUUUUAGGAUUGUAUUGUAUGCAAUGGGUUUCCUUCUGACCAACCUUCAUUAUGCUUGAUUUUCCCUAGCAAAUGGUAUAGGGGGUCUUCGUUAUCUCGGAAGGUCUUUAACAUCGUUUAGUGCCUUAUUUUUAUUCUCAAAACGACUUAUAGUGGAAUGGUGAUGACCAAAAAUACGUGCAGUUGUUUCAGCGACAUCCCUGCUUCUCUCAUGCUGAUAAUCUGCCAUCUUGCUGCAGUUUAGAGUUGUCGAGGACCCAUUACAAGGUGUCAAUCACAUAACUUUAAAAACUUGGUUAUUUAAAGUGUUGAAAACAAUGAGGAUGAAAACAUCUGUUUUGCUGUUUACGGGUACAGUAGCUGCAUGUGCAGAUAAAAACUUAUCGAGUCGAUAUUUAUUGAUUAAACUCAUGUGAUACUUAAAUAAUGUUUAAUUAGUUCUAUUUUACCAAAUUAUAUCACAAAAAAAUAAAAAGUGUUAUUUUAAUUUCAAUUUCAAUUUGGUGUUGCAAUACUUUUUCCAUGUGUAUAU